rnacentral:rRNA from 1 species
CCUACGGGCGGCAGCAGUGGGGAAUAUUGCUCAAUGGGGGAAACCCUGAAGCAGCGACGCCGCGUGAAGGAUGAAGGUUUUCGGGAUGUAAACUCCUUUUUAUAGGGAAGAAAAUGACGGUACCUGACUAAUAAGCACCGUCUAACUACGUGCCAGCAGCCGAGGUAAUACGUAGGGGGCAAGCGUUAUCCGGAUUGACUGGGCGUAAAGGGAGCGUAGGCGGUUUAGCAAGUCAGAUGUGAAAGCCUGGGGCUCAACCAUAGAACUGCCUUUGAAACUGUUAUGCUAGAGUAUGGGCGAGGCAGGUGGAAUGCGUGGUGUAGCGGUAAAAUGCGUAGAGAUCAAGAGGAAC